UACGUAGGCAGCGUGCGUUGUUCGGAGUUACUGGGCGUAAAGGGUGUGUAGGCGGUUGUUUAAGUUUGGUGUGAAAUCUCCCGGCUCAACUGGGAGGGUGCGCCGAAUACUGAAUGACUAGAGUGCGGGAGAGGAAAGUGGAAUUCCUGGUGUAGCGGUGAAAUGCGUAGAUAUCAGGAGGAACACCAAUGGCGAAGGCAGCACUCUGGGACGUGACUGACGCUGAGACGCGAAAAGCGUGGGGAGCAAACAGG
rnacentral:rRNA from 1 species